AUUACUCAAAUACACAAAGUCCCUUUAGACACCGAGUGCAGUUACGGAAUCUAUGUAGACAUUAUUGAAUCAAAACUUCAUUCUAAAUUCUACUUUAAUUUUGGUUAAAAAUAAACCAGGCUUUCUUAACACUCAAAAAAUCCACUUUCUCCUUCGUCAAGCACCAUACAGAGUACCACAUCGUCGCCGUAGAUCCAUAAAGUACCAGGACGAACUCUAAAAGCAUUGGUCCUGGAUCUACGGCGACGAUAUGCAGUAAAUAAUAACGACGACAAACUCUGUUUUACACCAGCAUCUAAUACUAGAUACUGGAACGACGGUUGUGUAUUUUGGAUUGUGUUCCCCUUCCCUGACGGUAUGACGCGGUAAAAAUGUCAUGGAAACAACCAUUUUCCCGGAUCUAUCCGUCGCUAUCUGGCACACAGCAAAUCAAUAAUUUUCCACACUCCAAAUCCUACAGAUCUGUGUAUUUCCUUAUGUGGUGUCACUUUGCCGUGUGGUUAGACCAGGACAACUCACAGGGAAAUCUAUUUUUAACACGUUUUUGCCAGGUAGAUAUAGAUUGAAAUCCCUUCUCUUCUUAGUCAGACCUUCUUUCACACUUGUCGGAAAUAUUAAAAGUUUACACAAAAUACUAAAAUAUUUCGUAUCAAUCAAAAUAAUAGCAUGGACCCUGGUAAAAGAAAAUUCGGCUUCACGCCAGAAAUGGAGAAUGGCGUGGAUCGAUCGCUCUUCAUGUUCCUGGCUGUACUUCUGAUUUCCCUGCUAAUGGCGUACUUUGAGUAUUCAGAGUGGGUGGUAUUCAACGAUCAUUCCCCAUCAAAACCAAGAGUGGACAAUGCUGUCCCAUAUUCACUAAGGGGCCAAUUUUACGAAAACCAGGGUGGAUUGGAUUUGUAAACUUGGGCUAAAUUCGUGUGUUCAACUAACGACGUCAAAUAUAUUUCUUACGCCAGAAUUUCAGAAAUAUUCGUCGCUUGGUAGCAUAUUAAUCAUGCAAUCAAUCGCUGCAUUUUUUUAUUAUUAGAAAUAGAAACUUUAAAUCUCUAUGCAAUCUCUUUCUCCCUUUGCGAAUGGAAGUGACUUUGUGUGUGUUGAGAUUCACAGCAAUACUUUCCACUCACUGAACUCAGUUUUUUGCUCUUAUGUGCAGGUACGCUGGCACCUGGCUUCACGCUGCGUUAUGCGAAACAUGCAUUUGUAAACGUUUAAUAACAUCUCUCUGCACAAUGCAUUAUUGCAUUCGUCUUUUGGUGCAAUCAUGCACUUACUUAUGUAUGUAUAUACAUUAUUGUGCAUUAAACUGCAGAUUUCUAAUUCUUUCAAGUUGGAAUCAAUAAAUCGUCUACACUUUCUAUUUGUGAA